rfam:Oryza rufipogon genomic scaffold, chr11
UAAUGUGAUCAUACCAGCACUAAAGCACCGGAUCCCUUCAGAACUUUGAAGUUAAGCGUGCUUGGGCGAGAGUAGUACUAGGAUGGGUGACCUCCUGGGAAGUCCUUGUGUUGCAUCCC